GCGACCCCAGGUCAGACGGGACUACCCGCUGAGUUUAAGCAUAUAAAUAA
rnacentral:rRNA from 2 species